rnacentral:lncRNA from 1 species
UCUUAAUUUCCUUACAUCUUCCACACGUCCCUUAAUUUUGUGUGCCAUCAAAUGGGGCUUUAAGACAUGUGGGUGUGGAAGAGGAGGAGGAGUCCUUCUCCAGGAAGGAACUCCAUGCCAAAAUAAAUUGGGAUGCCAUACAUUUAUGCGAUGAGAAGUGGAAGAGUUCAAUUCUCUUAAAACUCUUAAUUCCUUCCAUAUUCUCUAUGCAUUUCUUAAAUCCUCGUGACAUGAGA